AGUCAUAUGCUUGUCUCAAAGAUUAAGCCAUGCAUGUCUAAGUACAAGCUGUCUCGUACAGUGAAACUGCGAAAGGCUCAUUAAAUCAGUUAUGGUUCCUUAGAUCGUACCCACGUUACAUGGAUAACUGUGGUAAUUCUAGAGCUAAUACAUGCCGACAGAGCUCCGACCAGCGCGUCGUCGUUCGGCGGUUCGCCCGUCGUCGUCGGCCGUUCGGAAGGAGCGCUUUUAUUAGAUCAAAACCGGCCAAGCGUUCGGAUUGCGCUUCGCGCGCACAUUCGGACGUAAGUGGCCCGCGCAAAGACUUGACGACUCUGAAUAACUUCGAGCUGAUCGCACGGUCCUCGUACCGGCGACGUAUCUUUCAAAUGUCUGCCUUAUCAACUGUCGACGGUAGGUUCUACGCCUACCGUGGUGGUAACGGGUAACGGGGAAUCAGGGUUCGAUUCCGGAGAGGGAGCCUGAGAAACGGCUACCACAUCCAAGGAAGGCAGCAGGCACGAAAAUUAUCCAUUCAGGACUCCUGGAGAUAGUGACGAAAAAUAACGAUACGGGACUCAUCCGAGGCCCCGUAAUCGGAAUGAGUACACUUUAAAACCUUGGUCACACGAGGAUCAAUUGGAGGGCAAGUCUG
rnacentral:rRNA from 1 species